UCCGCCAGGGUACUACAAGCGCUAGCUUAAAACCCGAAGGACUUGACGGUGUCUCAGACCCACCUAGAGGAGCCUGUUCUAGAACCGAUAAUCCUCGUUAAACCUCACCACCUCUUGUUCCCCCAGCCUAUAUACCGCCGUCGCAAGCUUACCCUGUGAAGGAUUAACAGUAAGCGCAAUGAGCUUAACUCAAAACGUCAGGUCGAGGUGUAGCUUACGAGGUGGAAAGAAAUGGGCUACAUUUUCUAUUUUAGAAUAUACGAACGGCGCCAUGAAACUGGCCCCUGAAGGUGGAUUUAGUAGUAAAAA
rnacentral:rRNA from 1 species